UACGUAGGUGACAAGCGUUGUCCGGAUUUACUGGGCGUAAAGAGCGCGCAGGCGGUCGUUCAAGUCGAGUGUGAAAGCCCCCGGCUCAACUGGGGAGGGUCAUUCGAUACUGAUCGACUCGAAGGCAGGAGAGGGAAGUGGAAUUCCCGGUGUAGUGGUGAAAUGCGUAGAUAUCAGGAGGAACACCAAUGGCGAAGGCAGCACUCUGGGACGUGACUGACGCUGAGACGCGAAAGCGUGGGGAGCAAACAGG
rnacentral:rRNA from 1 species